AUUGAACGCUGGCGGCAGGCCUAACACAUGCAAGUCGAGCGGAAGAAGGGAGCUUGCUCCUGGAUUCAGCGGCGGACGGGUGAGUAAUGCCUAGGAAUCUGCCUGGUAGUGGUGUAUAACGGCCGGAAACGGGCGCUAAUACCGCAUACGUCCAGACGGAGUAAGUGGGGGAGCUUCGGACCUCCCGCUAUCAGAUGAUCCUAGGUCGGAUUAGCUAGUUGGUGGGGUAAAGGCCUACCAAGGCGACGAUCCGUAACUGGUCUGAGAGGAUGAUCAGUCAAACUGGAACUGAGACACGGUCCAGACUCCUACGGGAGGCAGCAGUGGGGAAUAUUGGACAAUGGGCGAAAGCCUGAUCCAGCCAUGCCGCGUGUGUGAAGAAGGUCUUCGGAUUGUAAAGCACUUUAAGUUGGGAGGAAGGGCAGUAAGUUAAUACCUUGCUGUUUUGACGUUACCAACAGAAUAAGCACCGGCUAACUUCGUG
rnacentral:rRNA from 1 species